GCGGUAACCUCCACCCGGAGCAAUUCCAAAUAGGCACGCGAUGAUGUUGCUCGCGGAGCGUGCGGGUAGGAAGCUUGAGCGCCGGAGUAAUUCGGCGCCUAGAGGAAUGGCUGUCACGCCUACUGAAAGGUAGGUGCUACAGAAUCCGGCCUAUCGGGCGGCUUCACAU
rnacentral:RNase_P_RNA from 1 species